UGAGGAAUAUUGGUCAAUGGGCGAGAGCCUGAACCAGCCAAGUAGCGUGAAGGAUGACUGCCCUAUGGGUUGUAAACUUCUUUUAUAAAGGAAUAAAGUCGGGUAUGGAUACCCGUUUGCAUGUACUUUAUGAAUAAGGAUCGGCUAACUCCGUGCCAGCAGCCGCGGUAAUACGGAGGAUCCGAGCGUUAUCCGGAUUUAUUGGGUUUAAAGGGAGCGUAGAUGGAUGUUUAAGUCAGUUGUGAAAGUUUGCGGCUCAACCGUAAAAUUGCAGUUGAUACUGGAUAUCUUGAGUGCAGUUGAGGCAGGCGGAAUUCGUGGUGUAGCGGUGAAAUGCUUAGAUAUCACGAAGAACUCCGAUUGCGAAGGCAGCCUGCUAAGCUGCAACUGACAUUGAGGCUCGAAAGUGUGGGUAUCAAACAGG
rnacentral:rRNA from 2 species